GUUUUUUUUCCACCGGGAGUCGCGGUCACACGGAGGCCUGGGACUGGGAAGCAGUGAGAGUCGGCUGGAAACCAUCGUCAACCACAUCCUAAACAUCGUCAACCGCAUCAGAAACAUCGUCAACCACAUCCUAAACAUCGUCAACCGCAUCAGAAACAUCGUCAACCGCAUCAGAAACAUCGUCAACAGGAGGCCGAUGCGAGACGUCGUGCAGUGCUCCGAAACGUCGGACACGCGCGGUACAACCCGCACACGCAAGUCGGACCCCCUUGCGUGCCAAGGAUACGUUCCAGCCCAGGCGAUAAGGCAACGCAAAAGCAAAUCUGACGGCUCUCCAUCGCGACCUUGAAGACCUGGCGCCGUGGUGCAACACGCUGCGGCGCGCAAGUGACGGGGUGUGCCGCGUGCAUCCCGGUGUUCCCAGCAGAGCCGAGGCCUUUGUCGCGAGCGAGCGGCACGGGGCGAGGACCCCCACUCGGGAAUCAGCGGCUGCACGGGCCGACGGGUUUCCGGUUACCGGGGAGAUUAAUUAAUUAUUCAAAGAGAGGGGCUCCCGUGUCCUCGCGAGAAAGAGAGAGAGGAGACGCGUGGUGGUCGUGGGUGGGGGGGUCUCACCCUCUUCUGCGCUGCGCUCCCAUCGCUUUACGCAGCGGCGAACUCGUGACGCUACGGGACAAAGAUCCACUCGGGGCUCCGCUCCGUCUCUGAUCGUCGUGGCGAGUUUUGUUUCGUGCCCUGGAAGAUCGUGGCAGUAAACGAGCCUGCCCGCCUCUGCUGCUACUGCUGCUGCUCAGCGCGAACUCCACUCCGUUCGCGUAGCCGUGACACAACGCUGGCUGCCGUAGAGUAGGGAUGGUCGGCGUAAGGCACUACCACUAGAAUACAAGCCAAGCGCGCAUUGGCUACCAGCGAAGUUUCGAGUGGACUAUAAGAUCCCGCUGCUGCUGCUGACCUACAAGGCACUCAAUAAUGGG